rnacentral:rRNA from 1 species
GUCUGCGACCAUUCUACCCUGAACAAGCCCGAUCCCGUCUGAUCUUGGAAACUAAGCAGGGUCAGGCCUGGUUAGUACUUGGAUAGGAGACAGCCUAGGAAGAAGACCAGGUGCUGUAGGCA